rnacentral:lncRNA from 1 species
AUGGAUGAAGAGACUGUCAAAAGAAUUACUAGAUUGAAUUUGAUGUUUCGCAUCAUGCCUGAUAUGUCAUCAAUGGGCAUGCCUUCAUUUGAUGGAAGCACUUCAGACAAUUCAGCUGACGCAGCUGUUCCUAUUCGGGAUAGAGGAAGAAAAAUUGACAAAAGCAAGCAAAGGAGUCGAAUUCAGAGGGAGACUUUAGGUGGUGUUAACAAGAAAGUUGAAUCAGAACAGGGGAGAAGGGAUGGAGUCAUGGCGGCAUCGCCAUUGUUGUUUUCGAAUGUAGAAGAAAGGCUUUCUGCGUAA